GACGAACGCUGGCGGCGUGCUUAACACAUGCAAGUCGAACGGAAAGGCCAGUGCUUGCACUGGUGCUCGAGUGGCGAACGGGUGAGUAACACGUGGGUGAUCUGCCUUGCACUCUGGGAUAAGCUUGGGAAACUGGGUCUAAUACCGGAUAUGAACUGCCUUUUGUGUGGUGGUUGGAAAGUUUUUUCGGUGCAAGAUGAGCUCGCGGCCUAUCAGCUUGUUGGUGGGGUAAUGGCCUACCAAGGCGUCGACGGGUAGCCGGCCUGAGAGGGUGUACGGCCACAUUGGGACUGAGAUACGGCCCAGACUCCUACGGGAGGCAGCAGUGGGGAAUAUUGCACAAUGGGCGGAAGCCUGAUGCAGCGACGCCGCGUGGGGGAUGACGGCCUUCGGGUUGUAAACUACUUUCGACAGGGACGAAGCGUAAGUGACGGUACCUGUAUAAGAAGCACCGGCUAACUACGUG
rnacentral:rRNA from 1 species